GACGAACGCUGGCGGCGUGCUUAACACAUGCAAGUCGAACGGAAAGGCCCUGCUUGCAGGGUACUCGAGUGGCGAACGGGUGAGUAACACGUGGGUGAUCUGCCCUGCACUUCGGGAUAAGCCUGGGAAACUGGGUCUAAUACCGGAUAGGAGCCAUUUUUAGUGUGAUGGUUGGAAAGUUUUUUCGGUGUAGGAUGAGCUCGCGGCCUAUCAGCUUGUUGGUGGGGUAAUGGCCUACCAAGGCGGCGACGGGUAGCCGGCCUGAGAGGGUGGACGGCCACAUUGGGACUGAGAUACGGCCCAGACGCCUACGGGAGGCAGCAGUGGGGAAUAUUGCACAAUGGGCGCAAGCCUGAUGCAGCGACGCCGCGUGGGGGAUAACGGCCUUCGGGUUGUAAACUCCUUUCGCUAGGGACGAAGCUUUUUGUGACGGUACCUAGAUAAGAAGCACCGGCUAACUACGUG
rnacentral:rRNA from 1 species